rnacentral:rRNA from 1 species
AGCGCCGUUGAUACUGUGAGGCUAGGAUUUGGUUGCUGUGGGCGGAAUGUGUGGUGUAGCGGUGAAAUGCUUAGAGAUCACACAGAAUAUCGAUUGCGAAGGCAGCUCACAAAGCCAAGAUUGACGCUGAGGCACGAAAGUGUGGGGAUCAAACAGGAUUAGAUACCCUGGUAGUCCACACUGUAAACGAUGAUAACUCGCUGUCGGCGAUAGACCGUCGGUGGCCAAGCGAAAGCGAUAAGUUAUCCACCUGGGGAGUACGACCGCAAGGUUGAAACUCAAAGGAAUUGACGGGGGCCCGCACAAGCGGAGGAACAUGUGGUUUAAUUCGAUGAUACGCGAGGAACCUUACCCGGGCUCGAACGGUGCAUGAAUGUUCAAGAGAUUGGACAGUCCUUCGGGACAUGUAUCGAGGUGCUGCAUGGUUGUCGUCAGCUCGUGCCGUGAGGUGUCGGCUUAAGUGCCAUAACGAGCGCAACCCUUGUCAUUAGUUACCAUCAGGUCAAGCUGGGGACUCUAGUGAGACUGCCACCGUAAGGUGUGAGGAAGGGGGGGAUGACGUCAAAUCAGCACGGCCCUUAUGUCCGGGGCGACACACGUGUUACAAUGGGAGGUACAGAGAGCAGCCAGUUAGUGAUAACGCGCCAAUCUCAAAAACCUUUCUCAGUUCGGAUUGGAGUCUGCAACUCGA